rnacentral:rRNA from 1 species
UACGGAGGAUUCAAGCGUUAUCCGGAUUUAUUGGGUUUAAAGGGUGCGUAGACGGUACGCCAAGUCUGAAGUGAAAUGCCGCAGCUUAACUGCGGAACUGCUUUGGAAACUGGCGGGCUAGAGUGCGGGAGGGGUAAGCGGAAUUCCUAGUGUAGCGGUGAAAUGCGUAGAUAUUAGGAGGAACACCAGUGGCGAAGGCGGCUUACUGGACUGUAACUGACGUUGAGGCUCGAAAGCGUGGGGAGCAAACAGG